CGGGUUUACUCCCGGCAUGGUGGCGUGGUGUCGUCCUCGGCCACUUGCCGGCACGCGCGGCGCCGUCAAGCGACCGGCGGCGGCGCUUUUUUCCCGGUGGCGCGCACAGGUACCCUUUUUUUCUUGCUUUCUUUUUCUCUGUCUACUUUCUUCUUUCUUUGUUCUUUCUCUCUUCUACCCGACGAGAUCUAUCUUCUUUUAACAAAGCUCUGAUACCAAUGUUAGAUGUUAGAGUUCAACUAGGUGUAGAUCCGGUGAGGUAGAAGGCUUUACUGUGAUACAACAUGGUUCGGGUAUAGGGAUUCAGAGAGAGAGAGAGAGAGAGGAGAGAAUGGGUACCUUCACUCUGAUUGGAGGAAGAUGCCGGGGUGGAC
rnacentral:lncRNA from 1 species